rnacentral:rRNA from 1 species
UACGGAGGGGGCUAGCGUUGUUCGGAAUUACUGGGCGUAAAGCGCGUGUAGGUGGCGGCGUUAGUCGGAUGUGAAAUCCCUCAGUUUAAUUGAGGAAGUGCAUUCGAUAUUGUGUCGCUUGAAUGUCGGAGGGGAUGGUGGAAUUCCUGGUGUAGAGGUGAAAUUCGUAGAUAUCGGGAGGAAUAUUUGUGGUGAAGGUGGCCAUUUGGACGACAAUUGACGUUGAGAUGCGAAAGCGUGGGUAGCAAACAGG